rnacentral:rRNA from 1 species
GUAGGAUAGGUGGGAGGCUUUGAAGUGUGGACGCCAGUCUGCAUGGAGCCGACCUUGAAAUACCACCCUUUAAUGUUUGAUGUUCUAACGUGGACCCGUGAUCCGGGUUGCGGACAGUGUCUGGUGGGUAGUUUGACUGGGGCGGUCUCCUCCUAAAGAGUAACGGAGGAGCACGAAGGUUGGCUAAUCCUGGUCGGACAUCAGGAGGUUAGUGCAAUGGCAUAAGCCAGCUUGACUGCGAGCGUGACGGCGCGAGCAGGUGCGAAAGCAGGUCAUAGUGAUCCGGUGGUUCUGAAUGGAAGGGCCAUCGCUCAACGGAUAAAAGGUACUCCGGGGAUAACAGGCUGAUACCGCCCAAGAGUUCAUAUCGACGGCGGUGUUUGGCACCUCGAUGUCGGCUCAUCACAUCCUGGGGCUGAAGUAGGUCCCAAGGGUAUGGCUGUUCGCCAUUUAAAGUGGUACGCGAGCUGGGUUUAGAACGUCGUGAGACAGUUCGGUCCCUAUCUGCCGUGGGCGCUGGAGAACUGAGGGGGGCUGCUCCUAGUACGAGAGGACCGGAGUGGACGCAUCACUGGUGUUCGGGUUGUCAUGCCAAUGGCACUGCCCGGUAGCUAAAUGCGGAAGAGAUAAGUGCUGAAAGCAUCUAAGCACGAAACUUGCC